rnacentral:lncRNA from 1 species
UUUAUAAAUAUAUUGAAUAGUAAUUAUAUCCCUACAACGUUCAACUUUUUAUGUUUAUCUUUGCAAAAGUCCAGUAAUAUUCAUAUUUUCCUCCGGUUUAUUACUAUUAGAGCAUUAUUUUUUUUUAAUAGAAGAUAAGUAAAAUAAUAUUUUUGUUAUAAUAAAUAUGUCCUUCCAAAAGCCUCAAUUAUUAGAAUUUUACGGAAAUGUCCUUCCAAAAAUCUCCGACGAUUAUUUUUUUUUUCUACCAUCACGAAUAACAUAAGAGGGGUAAAAAAAAUUAAUUUAUCUCGUUCGCUAAACAAAAUUAAUAUUUUAUCUAUGAUUAACUAUGUUUUUCUAAUGGAUCUCACAAUGGGGAUUUAUUUAAAAAUAUUAUGACUUUUGCAGAAAUAAUUAUAAAAGUUUAAUUUUGUAAAUAUAUAUUUGUUAUUCGAUAUGUUUAUAAGGAGCUGUAUGCAAUUAAUUCAUCUACUUAAGAAGCAAAAGUUAGUUGAUUAAUAAUACUAAAGAUUGGGGCGUUUACAUAGCAUUACUCACCUUAGGGCGUGUUUGGUUCGCUUAUUUUUUACCCUGGAAUCGGAAUCGAACUCGGCGAAUCCGUUUGUGGGUAUUUAGUAUGCGGGAAUUCCAUUCCGAUUUCGAUUUCCGAGUGGAAUGGGAAUCCCCCAAUCACCUUUUUUUUUCAAUCCGCCCUAGAAGGUCGUAUUGGAAGUUGAAUCCGGACGGAAUUAAUAUUUACUGGGAUUAAAUUUAUUUUUCAACUUUUUUUAAUUAAAAUAUGAGUUUAAAUUUAGAAAUUAAAUUUGUAAUUUUAAAUUUUAAUUUUAAUUUGAAUUAAAAAUUAAAAUUUAAUCAAGUAUUUCGAAUCUAACUUAUGAAUUUGAAUUUAAAUUAAAUUUUAAUUUAUAUAAAGUUUUAUUCAAAUUUUAUUUAAAACUUAAAGUAAAUUUAUGGAUUCAAAUUAAAAUUUAAAUUGUAAUUUUAAGUUUGAAUUUGAAUAAAUUGAAAUUUAGUUUU